rnacentral:lncRNA from 1 species
AUUGUUUCAACAUGAAGGUUUGUAAUAAAAAUUUGUUUCUAUCAGCAUUGCUUUGCAUUGCUGUUGCAGGAGUUUUGGGUCAAGCUCCUAGUAAUCCUCCUACGUCUACGCCGGCGCCACCCACACCACCGGCUUCUACUCCUCCUCCGACGACUCAAGCACCGCCUACACCAACCGCCACUCCGCCACCGGUUUCUACUCCUCCUCCCACUUCAUCACCGCCCCCAGUGACAGCUUCUCCACCCCCAGUUUCAACUCCUCCACCCAGUUCUCCUCCUCCUGCAACUCCACCACCUGCUUCUCCUCCUCCUGCAACUCCACCUCCAGCUUCUCCACCUCCUGCCACUCCUCCACCAGCUUCUCCACCUCCCGCCACUCCACCACCUGCAACCCCACCGCCAGCAACUCCUCCUCCUGCUACCCCACCACCAGCUCCAUUGGCUUCUCCUCCAGCCACAGUCCCAGCUAUCUCUCCAGUACAAACACCAUUGACAUCGCCACCAGCUCCGCCGACCGAGGCCCCAGCACCUACCCUCGGGG